UUUUCUGCCACCGAAUACAUUAGCAUGGGAUAAUGGAAUAGGACCCUGUCCUCCUAUUUUCAGUUGGUUUUGGCAGCGCGAGGACUAGGGUAAUGAUUAAUAGGGAUAGUUGGGGGCAUUAAUAUUUAAUUGUCAGAGGUGAAAUUCUUGGAUUUAUGAAAGAUUAACUUCUGCGAAAGCAUCUGCCAAGGAUGUUUUCAUUAAUCAAGAACGAAAGUUAGGGGAUCGAAGACGAUCAGAUACCGUCGUAGUCUUAACCAUAAACGAUGCCGACCAGCGAUUAGGAGACGUUGAAUACAAAACACCACCAUCGGCGCGGUCGUCCUUGGCGCGUUCGUGUUCACGCACGGGCGCGCGAGGGCGGCUUAGCCCGGUGGCACCGGUGAAUGACUCCCCUAGCAGCUUGUGAGA
rnacentral:rRNA from 1 species